GAAGGCUCCAGGGAGACCUUAAAGCAGCCUGCCAGUACAUAAAGGGGGCUUACAAGAAAGCUGGAGAGGGCCUAUUUACAGGGCAUGUAGUGAUACAACAAGGGAGAAUGGCUUUAAACUGGAAGAGGGUAGAUUUAGAUUAGAUAGAAGGAAGAAGUCUGUACUGUGAGGGUG